rnacentral:rRNA from 1 species
GUCUAUGGCCAUGCCACCCUGAACGUGCCUGAUCUCGUCUGAUCUUGAAAGUUAAGCAGGGUCGGGCCGGUUAGUACUUGGAAGGGAGACUACCUAGGAAGAUGGGGUGCUGUUUGUG